GACACAGACUUCACCAUCACGUUGCCCUUCUCUUCGCCGGACGCAGUGUUUGAGUCGGUUCACUCGUCCUCUGUCAGGAGCAGACUGGAUGUGGCUCUGUUGAAUCCUUACAACAACAUGACCAUCAAAUACUUUUCCCUGGCUUGCAGCUUCCUCAAAACGCUGACUGAGUGUUUCUCUAACGGAACGAUGACUGCGCUGGCAGUGAAGGUGGAGUCUGCUCCCGGU